rnacentral:rRNA from 1 species
GUCUGCGGCCAUUCCUCCCUGAACACGGCCGAUCUCAUCUGAUCUCAGAAGCUAAACAGAGUCGGGCCUGUUAGUACUUAGAUGGGAGACUACCUGGGAAUACCAGGUGCUGUAGGCU